rnacentral:rRNA from 1 species
UGCCAGCAGCCGCGGUAAUACGAAGGGGGCUAGCGUUGUUCGGAAUCACUGGGCGUAAAGCGCGCGUAGGCGGACUUUUAAGUCAGUGGUGAAAUCUUGCCGCUUAACGGUAAAAUUGCCAUUGAUACUGAAGUUCUUGAAUGUAGUUGAGGUAGGCGGAAUGUGUUGUGUAGCGGUGAAAUGCAUAGAUAUGACACAGAACGCCAAUUGCGAAGGCAGCUUACUAAGCUACGAUUGACGCUGAGGCACGGAAGCGUGGGGAGCGAACAGGAUUAGAUA